rnacentral:lncRNA from 1 species
AUGUGGGAGGGCUUCACUUGGUUCAACCCAGGACAGCCGGAGCACUCCAGGCGCUCUCUGUGUCUCUGUCCUCUCUCUCUCCCUCUGUCUCUAUCUGUGUGUGUCUGUGUCUCUGUCCUCUGUGUGUGUGUGUGUGUGUGUCUCUCUCUGUGUCUGUUCUCUGUCUGUCUCUGUGUGUCUCUGUCUCUCUGUCUCUCUGUCCUCUCUCUCUGUCUCUGUCUCUGUGUGUGUCUCUCUCUGUCUCUCUCUCUCUGUCUCUAUGUGUGUCUCUCUCUGUCUCUCUCUCUGUCUCUGUGUGUGUCUCUCUCUGUCUCUCUCUCUUUCUCUGUGUGUGUCUCUCUCUGUGUCGGUUCUCUGUCUGUCUCUGUGUGUCUCUGUCUCUCUGUCCUCUCUCUCUGUCUCCGUGUGUGUCUCUCUCUGUGUCCGUUCUCUGUCUAUCUGUCUCUGUGUGUCUCUGUCUCUCUGUCCUCUCUCUCUGUCUCCGUGUGUGUCUCUCUCUUUCUGUCUCUUUCUCUCUCUCUGCCUCUCCUGUAUAUCCUUCAUAUGGUCUGGUCAUACCUAAAUGGUUUCUCUGAGAGCUUGGGGGGUUGGUGGGAGUAAACUCACCCAAAUGUCACAGGGCAGCAGUGGCACCCGCCCAGAGCCCACAGUGUAUGCUGUCCUUGAUCCCUGGCCUAGGAAGGCACGUAUGUGUGUGGGAAAGGGCUGGUUGGCCCUCUCAGGGGUGAUGAGAGGAGCUCUGGUCCCGAAGAAGCUGGAGAGCCCUUGGCAAAAUCUGUUGUCUCCCACAGCUGAGCACACGGAAGCUUUACCUGAGAGAGGCUGCGUCCUGGCUAAAGCCACCAAGACCCUCUGCCUCCGUCCGGCUCUCUCUGCCUCCUUCUCUUGGCUUUGUUUCUGUCUCCAUUUCUGUUCCUUCGUCUUUCUGGCUGUCCGGUUUGAACGUUUUAUAUUUCUUUUAUUUUAAUACAUUCCACACCAGUUUCCCAAAGUUACAGCAUUCCUGUUGUCUCCCUCUCUCUUUCCCUCCCUCUUCUGGAGCCGACAGCAAUUCAGUCUGGGUUAUCCACGGAUUAUCACACAAAAUAUACCCUCACAUCCUUCGUCUUUGUACACAAAUAAUCCCAUAAAACUGAAGCCCCAAGUCGUACAAGCAGCCCAACAAGCGACAAAUGGUACGUUUUCAUCUGCACAGUCUUUCUCCGGAGGGAGGUGGAGAGGGAGCCUUCUUUGUCCUGUCCCAGCUGACCAUUCCGCAGCACUGCAGUUACGGGCACCAUGUCCUCCGGGUUCUGCCCCUUCCGUAGGUCUGUCUCUGCCUUCCUGUCCGCUGGUCCCUCUGUCUACAGUUGGCUUCCAGACGGCGGGACUUCAGACUAUCUGAACCCACAUUUUAAUGAAGGAAUCCAAGGACCUGGGAACGUUCACGUGCCACCUUUGGUUCAGCGGGUGUGACCUUGGCCAAGCAUAAAAAGGAAGGGCGGCAGCCGACCGGACGGCCUCCAGAGGCCCCUCUGGUGC